rnacentral:rRNA from 1 species
UCAGGCCUAACACAUGCAAGUCGAACGGGAUCUUCGGAUCUAGUGGCGGACGGGUGAGUAACGCGUGGGAACGUGCCCUUUGCUUCGGAAUAGCCCCGGGAAACUGGGAGUAAUACCGGAUGAGCCCUACGGGGGAAAGAUUUAUCGGCGAAGGAUCGGCCCGCGUUGGAUUAGGUAGUUGGUGGGGUAAUGGCCUACCAAGCCGACGAUCCAUAGCUGGUUUGAGAGGAUGAUCAGCCACACUGGGACUGAGACACGGCCCAGACUCCUACGGGAGGCAGCAGUGGGGAAUCUUAGACAAUGGGGGAAACCCUGAUCUAGCCAUGCCGCGUGAGCAAUGAAGGCCUUAGGGUUGUAAAGCUCUUCAGCUGGGAGGAUAAUGAC